CCUACGGGCGGCAGCAGUGGGGAAUAUUGCACAAUGGGGGAAACCCUGAUGCAGCAACGCCGCGUGAGUGAGGAAGUAUUUCGGUAUGUCAAGCUCUAUCAGCAGGGAAUAGAAAAGAAGGUACCUGAAAAAGAAGCCCCGGCUAACUACGUGCCAGCAGCCGCGGUAAUACGUAGGGGGCACGCGUUAUCCGGAUUUACUGGGGUUAACGGGAGCGUAGACGGAAAGGCAAGACAGAAGGUAAAACCCAGGGCUCAACCAUGGUACUGCUGUUGAAACUGUCAAACUAGAGUACGGGAGAGGUAAGAGGAAUGCGUAGUGUAGCGGUGAAAUGCGUAGAUAUUAGGAGGAACACCAGUGGCGAAGGCGUCUUACUGGACCGAAACUGACGUUGAGGCUCGAAAGCGUGGGGAGCAAACAGGAUUAGAUACCCCGGUAGUC
rnacentral:rRNA from 1 species